AAAAGCAGCGACUGCCUCUAGAGCUGAGAUGUUGAACCCGAGGAAGAACCUACACACCCCUUACAGAGCUGACAUCCAGCCUGAGAGGACACAGCCAUGGCUCACUAGAUGGUGCACGAGUCACCGAGGUGCCACGACAGGUGAAUUUGCUGGAAAUCUUUCUUUUCAGUACUGAAGAAGCCAUCCGUAGGGAGGAUCCUAAGUUGUACCACUUAGCACAGCCAAGGAGGCGCCAGUUCUCCACAGCUAUGGCAUUUGAGGGAGUAAUGAAAAAAGCUAGCCGCAAGGAGAUGCUGCACGUUGGUAUUCAUGGCAAAACAACCCCAAGAGUCUGCUGUUCUCAGGGAACUAUGUCACUGGUAUUUAGCACUAGAUUACAAAGCCACUCUCACAGUUUUGGAGGAAGCCAUCUACAAGGAGGUGUCAGGCUUUCUGGAUAGCUGAGGGCACAGCAUCAACAGGAGCAUGGACAGACAGACCUCAAAUGGACACGUGGAUGGUACAGAAUCAUUGAGAUCAUAGCACAAAACUGCGGGCAGAAGCCUGGUGAGAGGAGCACACUGGGACCAAGAAGGGAAACUCUUCUUCCUCCAGUUUCCCUCUAGUACCAUAUACUGAUGAAAACUUAAAAACAUGCAGGUUGGCAAAGGAAAAACAUAAAGCCUGUCUCCAUUAGUGCAGAGCAGGCAGUGGAGUGUGGAUUCAGAUUUGACAAGCACUGUAUUUGAAAUUGACACAAUGUACUUGUUUCAUGACACUUGGAACAAAUGAGAAUUUCUUAGAAGACACAAAUCACUUCUUAUCCUUCCUUUUAUGCCCAGAAAUGUUUUGAAUACAAAUGGUAUCAGAAUUUAACAAAAAGCUUCAAAGGGAAAAGGAAGCAGUGUUUUUGGAUAUGAAGCUUGAAUAUGCUAAAAUUACAGAUAAUUUAUAUGAGUAUCUUCUAAAGAAAGAUGGAUAGGAGUUCCCUGGUGGCCUGGUGGUUAAGGCCUCAGGGUUGCCACUGCUGUGACUUGGGUUAUAAACACGGCUCAGGUUUGUUAUCUGGCCUGGGAACUUAUAUAUGCCGCAGGUACAACCAAAAAAAAAAAGAAAAGGAAAAAAAUUUGAUGAAAAUUUGAUAUUAAAAGGGCUUAGGCACUUGACUCAGGAAUGUAGAUUUAAAUUUUACUAUUAUUCACCUUCUAUCUGGAAAAACAACUUACCUUAAAAGCUUAGAUACUUUUAAAAAGAAGAGAUUCUAAUAAUACUACCUGAUGCAAAGUUUCUUUGGAUUUAGUGCAAUAGUGCAUUAAACAUACUCAGUAACAGUCACAAAGCUCUGCUUGUGUUUAAAAUGAGGACAAAUAACUUUGAAAUGAAUAAAUACAUUUAAUUUUCAGGAUAGGUAGGGAUAUAAUAUACCUAUACUUUCAAUUCAUUUCUCCCUUUUGAGGUCCAUAAGUUUGUAUAUGACCUAGCCGUUUGUCAUGUACUUUAGAACCGCAUUUAUUGUCUUUCCUCUGAAAUAUUCUUCCAUUUUUAAACCAUUUUUGAUCAUGUUUCUGACUUUGACCAAAUUAUGCAGUUCAGGGACUUGGAAGUCAUAGUGGAUCUCACAUCUAGCCACAUUCAGCAUCUAAUUGGUCACUAAAUCAUAUUUAUUCUAUCUACUUAAACUCAAUACAUUCUCUUCUUCUUAAUCACUCUUCGAGCUUUAUUUCUAAAUAAUAGCAAUAACAUCUUUUUGACUAUUAAUUGAAUUUAUUGUCUAGUUUAUACCUUUCAAAAUAAUAAUCUGAUCAAAUUACUCCUCUCCUGAAAACUUUUAAUGCCAUUCCCCCAGUGACACCAAUACCCUAUUACCUAGAGGAUAAAACCCAUACUCUUUAGGAUGAUGUACAAGGAGUUCUAGCCCCAACCUGUCUAGCCAUAUUUCUCUUUAUUCCUCAUAAAUAUAUAAUGCUAAGUCUCUAAUAAAUCACUAACUAUUCCUUUAAAUUGCCAUGAUUUUUCAUGCAUUCAUAUUUUGCAAAAUGCAUUUAUUCUAUCUAGCAUAAUGCAUAAUACUGUUUGAUUUGUAUCAAAAAAUUUUGUAACUUGUAGAUGGCUUACCACAUGUGUGAUAAUCUGCUAAAUUCUUCACAUGUAUUAUCUAAAUGCUAUAGCAGAUCUAUGAGGAAAUAGAUACAGUGAAGUAACAUAUAAUGUCCCAGUUACGAUAUUAUGAACAGUAAAGCCGGGGCAGGAAUAUGAUUGACACUAAAAUCUAUGCAAUCAAAAAAAGUUACGAAACUACUUUAAUCAUAUUUAUUGGUGUGAAAUCUUUUCUGACCUGUCUGCACAUAAGAUAUUGAUAAUCAUCCUGACUUUUAUGUCAUAACUAAGUCCAAACCUGUCUCUGUUAUCUCAAGUAUCACACAGAAAUUUAUUUGUGGUUUUUAUGUCUGUCAUUCCCAUGAGACCGGUAUGGGAUAAGGUUAUUGCCCAAAGUAUAGUUAGUUCUCUAUAUAUUAUAUUUGAAUUCAUAAGUGAAUUAAUGAUACAAAUUCUACCUUCUAUUUUGUGUUCUAGUUAGCUAAUGCAAGAGAUACUGGAAGUGUCAUUAAUUUUAUCUGUUACCUUUGCAUUCAGAAAGCAUUUUGGAAGGAAAGAAACAUCUGUAGUACAUGUUAGAAGAUGAUGAUGAGAUUUUGACAGGUGGAGGCAGAGCAGAAACGACAUUCCAAACUUAAGGUCUAACAUAAUAAGAGCCAUUUAGUCUAGUCUAAAUGAAUAGCGAAUCAUCAGAUUUGAUGUAUUGCUUACAUAUGAUCUUGCUCUGACUUAUUAGCUGUUUAUUUAUCUUUCAGGAUGUAGGCGAGUAGCAAGUAUAUACAGAAGUCAGGGGAACAUUUCUCACAUUAACCUGAUGAGAGGCUAGCCCGUUGGAUUCCCUCUCCCCACCCAGAAUCAAAGAGCCUCCUCGGAACUGGCCUUUCACUCUUUCCGUCUCUCUUGGCUGAGUGAGGCUCGUGUGAAGUUUAUAUAAGAUGUGUGAACGCAGUGAAUUUGUUUUUCCUCUAGAAGCUCUCGUUUUACAGUACAUUUGCAGUUUGAAGCAUGUUCUUUACAUAAAUGUCUUUGAAGCUACAACACGUAUAUUUCAUGUCUGUGAUUUUAUAUGCUUUAUAAUACCCUUCAUAGUAAUUCUACAAGGUACAUUUUCCUUUUUUAAUGAAGAAAUUUAUGCUGCAAAAGUCUCAUGUUCACUAUUUGUAGCUAAUCAUUGUGAUAGGUUGGUAAUUCAAAACCAUUUAUUUCUGUCUUACACCAAAGCCUUUGUUUUUUCAACCAGGCAACUCCAUCUUUCAGUAUGAGCACAGGUUCUGAGGGUAAGAAACCAUAUUGCAUAUUCUGACAAUGAACUACAAAACAGACAAUUUUGGUCAAAUCUGAGAUUCUCAGUGUUGUUUGUGCAUUAGAAUCACCUGGGGAGGUUUUAAAAUUUAUGCUCAGAUUGAACCAUAAUCUUCCAUCACAGACAAAUCAAAUCAUGGUCUCUGGGAUCAGAGACAUAUAAUCAAAAGGUUAAAUUCCUGGGUGAUUCUCAUAUUCAUCCAAUACUGAGAACACUACACUGAAGUGAAGAACAUGUGUACAGAGAAGAGUAUUUAAAAACAUGACUAUUAGGAGUUCCCGUCGUGAAGCAGUGGUUAGUGAAUCCGACUAGGAACUAUGAGGUUGUGGGUUCGAUCCCUGGCCUUGCUCAGUGGGUUAAGGAUCCGGCGUUGCUGUGAGCUGUGGUAUAGGUCGCAGACAUGGCUCCGAUCCUAUGUUACUGUGGCUCUGACGUAGGCCAGUGGCUACAGCUCCGAUUAGACCCCUACCCUGGGAACCUCCAUAUGCUGGCGGAGCAGCCCUAGAAAAGGCAAAAAGACAAAUAAACAAACAAAUAAAUAAAUAAAAACAUGACUAUUAGAAUCAGGUCUACAGUAAAGAAUCCUAGCUGCCUUACUUAAUAAUAACUCUGUCACCAUAGGCUAAUUACUCAAGUCUACAUUUAUUCGCCCAUAAGAUAGGAAUAAACUAAAAUAUAUAAACUGCUUAACAUAUGGAAUAGGUUUAAUUGAUGGCAAUUCCUACUAUUUAUAAAUAAAUAGCAAAUAAAUUUGAAAAAUGAUACUAAGAUUAUGUUGGGAAAUAUCUAAGUACUGAAGCGGAUUAUCAUGAGUGUAGAUGACAGAAACAAAUUGGAUUAGAGAUAUAUUUUUACUCAGAUGCUUAUGAUUUUUAAAAUUUUCCUAUUUACAUAUUCUUUGCAGUAAGUAAUCUUAGGUAUUAAUUACACACAGUUUUAAUUGGCAUAAGCUUAUAAAUUCUCAUUAUCUCAUAAUGAUGAAAAAAGAUAAAAGAGUGUCUGGUCUUGAUAAUGUACGAAUAAUGAGAAAUAUUGUGUACCUUGUUUUACUAAGCAUCAGUUAUUUUUCUGAUGAAUGGAAUUUUAGAUGUCUUAACUAGCUGUUGCCUAAUGCCAUUUACCACCUCUUUUUUGUUUUGUUUUUUAGACAUUACUAGUCUUACAUAAUCUAGAAGCAAAAAACAACAGUGAAAGUUUACCUGUUUUACAUAUUAAGACACUUUCCCAUUCAGUUAUCAUUUGAUUCUCAGAAGCCCCAAGAAAGGAAUGAAGAACCGGUAUGUGGUUUAAUAGUUUGUAGGGAGGUGGCUAAACAACACUUUCCUUCUUACUCCUAAUCUAAUGCUUCUUUUAUAACAUACACACUUAUUUAGAACAUGU
rnacentral:lncRNA from 1 species